rnacentral:rRNA from 1 species
AGUGAACGCUGGCGGUAGGCCUAACACAUGCAAGUCGAACGGCAGCACAGUAAGAGCUUGCUCUUACGGGUGGCGAGUGGCGGACGGGUGAGGAAUACAUCGGAAUCUACUUUUUCGUGGGGGAUAACGUAGGGAAACUUACGCUAAUACCGCAUACGACCUACGGGUGAAAGCAGGGGAUCUUCGGACCUUGCGCGAUUGAAUGAGCCGAUGUCGGAUUAGCUAGUUGGCGGGGUAAAGGCCCACCAAGGCGACGAUCCGUAGCUGGUCUGAGAGGAUGGGCGCCCACAGUGGAACUUAAAACGGCCCCAACCCCCUCCGGGGGGCACCAGUGGGGAAUUUGGGACAAUGGCCGCAAGCUGGAUCCAGCCAUCCCGGGGGGGUAAAGAAGGCUUUCGGUUUUUAAAGCCUUUUUUUUGGAAAAAAAAAGCAGCAGUUUAACACCCCGCUGUUCUGAGGGUACCAAAAAAAAAAGCCCCGCCUACCUUCGUC